rnacentral:rRNA from 1 species
AUCCUGGCUCAGGAUGAACGCUGGCGGCGUGCUUAACACAUGCAAGUCGAACGAAGCACCUUAAUUGAUUUCUUCGGAAUGAAGUUAUUGUGACUGAGUGGCGGACGGGUGAGUAACGCGUGGGUAACCUGCCUCACACAGGGGGAUAACAGUUGGAAACGGCUGCUAAUACCGCAUAAGCGCACAGUACCGCAUGGUACGGUGUGAAAAACUCCGGUGGUGUGAGAUGGACCCGCGUCUGAUUAGCUAGUUGGCAGGGCAACGGCCUACCAAGCCGACGAUCAGUAGCCGACCUGAGAGGGUGACCGGCCACAUUGGGACUGAGACACGGCCCAAACUCCUACGGGAGGCAGCAGUGGGGAAUAUUGCACAAUGGGGGAAACCCUGAUGCAGCGACGCCGCGUGAGCGAAGAAGUAUUUCGGUAUGUAAAGCUCUAUCAGCAGGGAAGAAGAAAUGACGGUACCUGACUAAGAAGCACCGGCUAAAUACGUG